GCGAGCGGAGGGCGCGCUGGGUGAUGAGUUGCCGCAGGGGCAGGGGGCCGAGCAGUUGCUGCCGGCGCCUGGAGACUCUGACAUCUGGCGUCCCUAGGGGUCGAGGGACCCUCGGGAGGGCAGCAACGAGGACCGUGUGGCCGCUGCUUGUCCCUGUGAUCACCCUCUGUCCUCGCCAUUGGCGUGCGACGUCCGCCAUGGAAGCGCAUCGGGCCGCCACCGAGGCCUCCGGGCGCCGGGGCCCCGGCUCCCCGGAGCGAUGAGGGGGUAGGGGCGCCCCGCGGCCCGCCUGCCUCCCGCGCUCCGGCCGCCCCGGACAGAAGGAGGGUCGGGUGGGCGGUCGGUCAGCGCCGCCGUGCCCGCCCCGCCCCCUUGGGGCGCUGCCGAGGGGCGCCCGCCCGGCCGCUGAAGCCCGGGACGCGCCGCCCGCCCGCGCCCUCCGCCCCCCAAGAUGUGGCAGAACGUCGGGCUGACCCUGCUCGUGUUCGUGGCCACGCUGCUGAUCGUCCUGCUGCUGAUGGUGUGCGAGCACUCACUCUAAUGACAGGAAACAAUGUCUCCUGAACCCUAGAGGCUCCCUCACCCCCGAGAGUGCCCUGCUGCUCACGUCUGCUACUUCCCUCAGUCAGUGCACAGAGGAGUGACCUGUGCUGCGGCCUGGCCUGGAGGCUUUGAGCAGAAGUAUGACUGGAACCAGCCAGCACUGGCAGAGCCAUUGCAGCAGGGCGCCACGGACAUGGACCAAGGUGCUUUCCAACCUUCAGUCACCCUCCCUGUCAAGAGGUGGACCAGAUGCCCCCAGAAGCUGCAGCACUUGUGUCUAAGCAGCCUGAGGCCUGCGUCAGAUGCAGCCAUCCCAGAAUCGUUUGUUUCCUGCUGUCUCUGCGAGCUGGUCUCUCCUGCAUGUGUGACUUCCACAGUUGUUUUCCAGCCAGCCUGAAGCUGCAAACUUGCUGGGAGGCACAUACUAUCCAGACCCUGAGAAAUCAAGGGAGACAUCAGUAAAGCUAUGUGGAUUCCACCCCUCCAGCAGGACCUGAGGGUCUGGGAGCAGAGGCCAGAUGGACCCUUGAGUGAAGAGAAAUCUUCCCCAAGCCCAGAUGCCACCCACAUGUUGUGGCCUGUCCCGGCAGGCACCCUGCAAAAGUGGGUGGAGUACCUGGUGCCCACUGUCAUGCGUG